UGCAAGUCGAGGGGCAGCACAAGGAGCAAUCUGAGGUGGCGACCGGCGCACGGGUGGGUAACACGUAUGCAACCUGCCUGUAAGCGGGGAAUAACCCGUUGAAAGACGGACUAAUACCGCAUAAUACUAAAUUACUGCAUGGUAAUUUAUUUAAACAUUUAUGGCUUACAGAUGGGCAUGCGCAUGAUUAGCUAGUUGGAGAGGUAACGGCUCCCCAAGGCAACGAUCAUUAGGGGUUCUGAGAGGAAGGUCCCCCACACUGGUACUGAGACACGGACCAGACUCCUACGGGAGGCAGCAGUGAGGAAUAUUGGUCAAUGGACGAGAGUCUGAACCAGCCAAGUCGCGUGCAGGAAGAAUGUCCUUAAUGGAUUGUAAACUGCUUUUGCAGGGGAAUAAAGUGCAUCACGUGUGAUGUUUUGUAUGUACUCUGCGAAUAAGGAUCGGCUAACUCCGUGCCAGCAGCAGC
rnacentral:rRNA from 1 species